rnacentral:tRNA from 1 species
AAGUUUUGUUGGGCAAAAAUAGUUUUGAAAACUUUUUUGAAGUGUUCGAUUCACUUGUGACUUU